rnacentral:rRNA from 1 species
UGGGGAAUAUUGCACAAUGGGCGAAAGCCUGAUGCAGCGACGCCGCGUGAGGGAUGACGGCCUUCGGGUUGUAAACCUCUUUCAGCAGGGACGAAGCGCAAGUGACGGUACCUGCAGAAGAAGCACCGGCUAACUACGUGCCAGCAGCCGCGGUAAUACGUAGGGUGCAAGCGUUGUCCGGAAUUACUGGGCGUAAAGAGUUCGUAGGCGGUUUGUCGCGUCGUUUGUGAAAACCAGCAGCUCAACUGCUGGCUUGCAGGCGAUACGGGCAGACUUGAGUACUGCAGGGGAGACUGGUAUUCCUGGUGUAGCGGUGAAAUGCGCAGAUAUCAGGAGGAACACCGGUGGCGAAGGCGGGUCUCUGGGCAGUAACUGACACUGAGGAGCGAAAGCAUGGGGAGCGAACAGG